UGAGAACUGAAGCCCACCGGGAGAUAGAAGUUAGCCACUGUAAUAAAGAUGCAGCAAACUACAAUAGUUGGCACUUUGGUUUACUUUCUUUCUGUUCUUUUCCAUCUUUCUGACAAUUUUUUCCUCCUUCAUGUACUGGUGGCUUCAAGGAGAGACUACAACAUAGAAAUAGAGUGCUUUCAGCUUUUAGGAUUAAAAUUUAUACACCACAAAUUAUUGAGAAGGAAUUUGAUGUAGGAACAACAUUUGGAAGUCCCAG
rnacentral:lncRNA from 1 species